UAAUAAUAAUUGGGGGUGUUACAACUCUCCCCCCCUUAAAGAAAUUUGGUCUCUCAAAUUUGCCUCUUACUCUUGAUCGAACAAAUGGGGGUACUGGGCUCUAAAGUCUGAUUCUAGUUCCCAUGUAGCCUCCCUUGGUGUGUGGUUCUGCCAUACGACCUUUACAAAAGAUAUUUUUCAGUUGCGGAGCAACUUACUCUUUCGAUUCGUAAUGCACUGGUACUUCCUCGUAUGAUAAGUCUUCCUAGAGUGGGAGGAGUUCAUGGGCCAAGACAUGAGAGGGGUCUGGGUUGUACUUACUUAGCAUGGAUACAUGGAACACAUUGUGGACCUUGAAAAGCUCUGGAGGUAGUGCUAGUCUGUAGGCGGCAGUACCAAUCCUGUCUAAGAUUUUGAAUGGUCCAAUGAAU
rnacentral:lncRNA from 1 species